rnacentral:rRNA from 1 species
CUACGGGGGGCAGCAGUCGAGAAUCUUCCGCAAUGGGCGAAAGCCUGACGGAGCAAUGCCGCGUGUAGGAUGAAGGCCUUUGGGUCGUAAACUACUGUCACAGGGGAUGAAUAUUGACAGUACCCUGAGAGGAAGCCACGGCUAACUACGUGCCAGCAGCCGCGGUAAUACGUAGGUGGCGAGCGUUGUUCGGAUUUAUUGGGCGUAAAGGGUUCGUAGGGUGUUUUUUAAGUUUGAUGUGAAAUCCCGGAGCUUAACUCCGGAACUGCAUUGGAAACUGAGAGACUAGAGCAUCGAAGAGGAGAGCGGAAUUCCUGGAGUAGCGGUGGAAUGCGUAGAUAUCAGGAAGAACAUCGAGAGCGAAGGCAGCUCUCUGGGCGAUAGCUGACCCUGAGGAACGAAAGCGUGGGUAGCAAACAGGAUUAGAUACCCUAGUAGUC